rnacentral:lncRNA from 1 species
CAGCUGGUGAAGAGCAGGCGUCUCUCAUGGGUUGCCACGCUUUUGCAGACUUGAUCCAAGGGUUAAAACGUUACAAGAACAGGGUUUUGUCUGAUCCAAGACUAGCGUAUGACUGGCUUAAACCCUCAUGUUGUCUAUGGUCGUAUGUCCAGAUUACCUACUCACCCAUGAAUUAUGUUAUAUGUUGCUAUAAGUGCUGGAGCUGCAAGCUACCUGUAAAUCUGAACCUGUGCUGGGCCUCCCAACCCCAGGUUUUCAGAUAUCCACUGGGCAUGGGAACUCUUGAGUAUUAUAAAGUAGCUUAUUUUUAUUUUCUGAAAGAAAUCUGAAGAGCAGUUCUGGAUCUCCAGUGGAAAGCGCAAUGGAAAAAAGGUUCUCAGGGAAGCUUUUGGAGUUUGCAACUACAGUAUUCCUUUGUCUGUCUUAAAUAUGAGAAUAGCUAUUAUGAAUAGGCCAAUACCAGAUAUUUCAUACAGAAGAAUUCUUAAUGUGUCAUGGUCCGGUGUUUAUGAUUUUUUGGAAGUCUGUUUGAUGACAGUUCUGGUUCUUUUCAUUAUUGUGAUCAUCCUUACAGUGGCGCAGUACUGCCAGUCCAGAGAUCAUACAUCAAUGCCAGAGAACGUUUGAGAUUGCGAUGAACUAAAAAAGAAACAAGCAAACAAACAAACAAAAAAAACCAACAAAAAGAGAUGUUAAUUGAUGGCCAGCAAAGUGCUUACCUAACAUAAAUCAGUGGUUGAUUUCUUGCAGGUAUCCACAUAGCGAUGGGUUUUCUUGGUUUGGUGUUCUAUUGUUUGUGCAAAAUCACAGCACAAGCACCAUUCUGGAGGAAAAAAAAAAACAACAAAAAAAGGCAUUCAGGUAUUGGAUAUUCUUCCAAAGAAGCAUUCUGUAAGCUCGGGACACGCAAACCACCUGGGGGAGCGAAGAGUUGACCCAAGAUAAUGAAGGGGAGAAACCCCUUUGGGGUCCCGACAUGGGUGUGUUCACUCCCUGCAUGGCUCCUGGAGGCGGUGGGGAGGAUUUGGGUGGCCAAUGCUAAAGGCAAAGCUGUGGUGUCAUUUUGAGCCCAAUUCUGCGGAUAUUUAGGGUGUAAUCCGUGAUUUGGAGAGGUCAGUGGGGAGCUUCCCAUUGACUACAGCAGGCAUUGAGCGCAGCGUGGCGCGGGUUGGUUCCUGCUGGGACGUGCCAUGCUGAGCCAUUUGCAGGAUCAGGCUCCACGAGUUCACCCAUUUUAGAACCCAUUCCAAGUGCAAAAAUACAAAAGAAAGGGAAAAAAAAAAAAAGAUAUAACAAUAAUUUGAGGUGUUAAAAACACGAUGUUCUUAACAUGUAAAUAGAGUCCAAAUUGAUUGUGACUGCAAUUCACUUAGUAUUUAAAAGUAGAGAAAUUGCACUUCCUGGAAGAAAGAGAGGAAAAAAAAAAAAAGAAAAAAGAAGUAGUUAGUUUAAUUAUCCUGUAAAUUAUUUAAUUUCGGCAAGAUGUAUGUAAUUUAUAUUUACAACACCUUCUGUUCACUUUUGCUAUUUAUUUAACUUUUUUAUUUAUUAAUUUUAUACUUACUUUAAAACUGGACUCCGCACCAUUGAAAGAAAAAAAAAAUGAAGAUAAAAGAAGCAAAAAAAAAAAAAAGUUUAAAAAUUAAAACUUUUGACCAUAAAAAAGGACAUUCCC